CACCCAAUCUUCGAAAAUCCCACCCACUACUAAAAAUAAUCAACAACUCCCUAAUCGACCUACCCACCCCAUCAAACAUCUCCGCCUGAUGAAACUUCGGAUCUCUCCUAGGCAUCUGCCUAGCAACACAAAUCCUAACCGGCCUACUACUAGCCG
rnacentral:tRNA from 1 species